CGUAGGUGGCAAGCGUUGUCCGGAUUUAUUGGGCGUAAAGGGAGCGCAGGUGGUUUCUUAAGUCUGAUGUGAAAGCCCACGGCUUAACCGUGGAGGGUCAUUGGAAACUGGGAAACUUGAGUACAGAAGAGGAAUGUGGAACUCCAUGUGUAGCGGUGGAAUGCGUAGAUAUAUGGAAGAACACCAGUGGCGAAGGCGACAUUCUGGUCUGUUACUGACACUGAGGCUCGAAAGCGUGGGGAGCAAACAGGAUU
rnacentral:rRNA from 1 species